rnacentral:rRNA from 1 species
GCUGGCGGCGUGCCUAAUACAUGCAAGUCGAGCGAAUGGAUUAAGAGCUUGCUCUUAUGAAGUUAGCGGCGGACGGGUGAGUAACACGUGGGUAACCUGCCCAUAAGACUGGGAUAACUCCGGGAAACCGGGGCUAAUACCGGAUAACAUUUUGAACCGCAUGGUUCGAAAUUGAAAGGCGGCUUCGGCUGUCACUUAUGGAUGGACCCGCGUCGCAUUAGCUAGUUGGUGAGGUAACGGCUCACCAAGGCAACGAUGCGUAGCCGACCUGAGAGGGUGAUCGGCCACACUGGGACUGAGACACGGCCCAGACUCCUACGGGAGGCAGCAGUAGGGAAUCUUCCGCAAUGGACGAAAGUCUGACGGAGCAACGCCGCGUGAGUGAUGAAGGCUUUCGGGUCGUAAAACUCUGUUGUUAGGGAAGAACAAGUGCUAGUUGAAUAAGCUGGCACCUUGACGGUACCUAACCAGAAAGCCACGGCUAACUACGUGCCAGCAGCCGCGGUAAUACGUAGGUGGCAAGCGUUAUCCGGAAUUAUUGGGCGUAAAGCGCGCGCAGGUGGUUUCUUAAGUCUGAUGUGAAAGCCCACGGCUCAACCGUGGAGGGUCAUUGGAAACUGGAAAACUUGAGUGCAGAAGAGGAAAGUGGAAUUCCAUGUGUAGCGGUGAAAUGCGCAGAGAUAUGGAGGAACACCAGUGGCGAAGGCGACUUUCUGGUCUGUAACUGACGCUGAUGUGCGAAAGCGUGGGGAUCAAACAGGAUUAGAUACCCUGGUAGUCC